rnacentral:rRNA from 1 species
CAGUCGAGAAUAAUUCACAAUGGGGGAAACCCUGAUGGUGCAACGCCGCGUGGAGGAUGAAGGUCUUCGGAUUGUAAACUCCUGUCAUUGGAGAGUAAGACCUGGCGGUGAAUAGCCGACAGGGUUGAUAGUAUCCAAAGAGGAAGGGACGGCUAACUUCGUGCCAGCAGCCGCGGUAAUACGAAGGUCCCAAGCGUUGUUCGGAAUCACUGGGCGUAAAGGGAGCGUAGGCGGCGUGGUAAGUCAGAUGUGAAAUCCCGGGGCUCAACCCCGGAACUGCAUCCGAUACUGCCGUGCUUGAGGGUUGGAGAGGUAGCUGGAAUUCUCGGUGUAGCAGUGAAAUGCGUGGAUAUCGAGAGGAACACUCGUGGCGAAGGCGAGCUACUGGACAACAUCUGACGCUGAGGCUCGAAGGCUAGGGGAGCAAAAGGGAUUAGA